AUUGAACGCUGGCGGCAGGCCUAACACAUGCAAGUCGAACGAGUGGCGGACGGGUGAGUAAUGUCUGGGAAAAUGCCUGAUGGAGGGGGAUAACUACUGGAAACGGUAGAUAAUACCGCAUCACAUCAGAUGUGACCCAAUGGGAUUAGCUAGUUGGUGGGGUAACGGCUCACCAAGGCGACGAUCCCUAGCUGGUCUGAGAGGAUGACCAACCACACUGGAACUGAGACACGGUCCAGACGCCUACGGGAGGCAGCAGUGGGGAAUAUUGCAAAAUGGGCGCAAGCAUGAUGCAGCCAUGCCGCGUGUAUGAAGAAGGCCUUCGGGUUGUAAAGUACUUUCAGCGGGGGGGCGUUACCCGCAGAAGAAGCACCGGCUAACUCCGUGCCAGCAGCCGCGGUAAUUC
rnacentral:rRNA from 1 species